UACGGGGGGGGCAAGCGUUGUUCGGAAUUACUGGGCGUAAAGGGCUCGUAGGUGGCCAACUAAGUCAGACGUGAAAUCCCUCGGCUUAACCGGGGAACUGCGUCUGAUACUGGAUGGCUUGAGUUUGGGAGAGGGACGCGGAAUUCCAGGUGUAGCGGUGAAAUGCGUAGAGAUCCGGAGGAACCCCAGAGGCGAAGGCGGCAGCCUGGUUGGCUCCUGACGCUCGGACACGACAGCAUGGGGAGCGAACGGG
rnacentral:rRNA from 1 species